CACUAAUGACGUGGACUAGAGGUUCAUUAUGGGGUUCUACUGCCAGUCUACUACACUAAACACUAAUGACGUGGACUAGAGGUUCAUUAUGGGGUUCUACUGCCAGUCUACUACACUAAUGACGUGGACUAGAGGUUCAUUAUGGGGUUCUACUGCCAGUCUGCUACACUAAACACUAAUGACGUGGACUAGAGGUUCAUUAUGGGGUUCUACUGCCAGUCUACUACACUAAACACUAAUGACGUGGACUAGAGGUUCAUUAUGGGGUUCUACUGCCAGUCUACUACACUAAACACUAAUGACGUGGACUAGAAGUUCAUUAUGGGGUUCUACUGCCAGUCUACUACACUAAACACUAAUGACGUGGACUAGAGGUUCAUUAUGGGGUUCUACUGCCAGUCUACUACACUAAACACUAAUGACGUGGACUAGAGGUUCAUUAUGGGGUUCUACUGCCAGUCUACUACACUAAACACUAAUGACGUGGACUAGAGGUUCAUUAUGGGGUUCUACUGCCAGUCUACUACACUAAACACUAAUGAUGUGGACUAGAGGUUCAUUAUGGGGUUCUACUGCCAGUCUACUACACUAAUGACGUGGACUAGAGGUUCAUUAUGGGGUUCUACUGCCAGUCUACUACACUAAUGACGUGGACUAGAGGUUCAUUAUGGGGUUCUACUGCCAGUCUGCUACACUAAACACUAAUGACGUGGACUAGAGGUUCAUUAUGGGGUUCUACUGCCAGUCUACUACACUAAACACUAAUGACGUGGACUAGAGGUUCAUUAUGGGGUUCUACUGCCAGUCUACUACACUAAACACUAAUGACGUGGACUAGAGGUUCAUUAUGGGGUUCUACUGCCAGUCUACUACACUAAUGACGUGGACUAGAGGUUCAUUAUGGGGUUCUACUGCCAGUCUGCUACACUAAACACUAAUGACGUGGACUAGAGGUUCAUUAUGGGGUUCUACUGCCAGUCUACUACACUAAACACUAAUGAUGUGGACUAGAGGUUCAUUAUGGGGUUCUACUGCCAGUCUACUACACUAAUGACGUGGACUAGAGGUUCAUUAUGGGGUUCUACUGCCAGUCUACUACACUAAUGACGUGGACUAGAGGUUCAUUAUGCGCUUCUACUGCCAGUCUACUACACUAAACACUAAUGACGUGGACUAGAGGUUCAUUAUGGGGUUCUACUGCCAGUCUACUACACUAAACACUAAUGACGUGGACUAGAGGUUCAUUAUGGGGUUCUACUGCCAGUCUACUACACUAAUGACGUGGACUAGAGGUUCAUUAUGGGGUUCUACUGCCAGUCUGCUACACUAAACACUAAUGACGUGGACUAGAGGUUCAUUAUGGGGUUCUACUGCCAGUCUACUACACUAAACACUAAUGACGUGGACUAGAGGUUCAUUAUGGGGUUCUAUUGCCAGUCUACUACACUAAACACUAAUGACGUGGACUAGAGGUUCAUUAUGGGGUUCUACUGCCAGUCUACUACACUAAUGACGUGGACUAGAGGUUCAUUAUGGGGUUCUACUGCCAGUCUACUACACUAAACACUAAUGACGUGGACUAGAGGUUCAUUAUGGGGUUCUACUGCCAGUCUACUACACUAAACACUAAUGACGUGGACUAGAGGUUCAUUAUGGGGUUCUACUGCCAGUCUACUACACUAAUGACGUGGACUAGAGGUUCAUUAUGGGGUUCUACUGCCAGUCUGCUACACUAAACACUAAUGACGUGGACUAGAGGUUCAUUAUGGGGUUCUACUGCCAGUCUACUACACUAAACACUAAUGACGUGGACUAGAGGUUCAUUAUGGGGUUCUAUUGCCAGUCUACUACACUAAACACUAAUGACGUGGACUAGAGGUUCAUUAUGGGGUUCUACUGCCAGUCUACUACACUAAACACUAAUGACGUGGACUAGAGGUUCAUUAUGGGGUUCUACUGCCAGUCUACUACACUAAACACUAAUGACGUGGACUAGAGUUUCAUUAUGGGGUUCUACUGCAAGUCUACUACACUAAACACUAAUGAUGUGGACUAGAGGUUCAUUAUGGGGUUCUACUGCCAGUCUACUACACUAAUGACGUGGACUAGAGGUUCAUUAUGGGGUUCUAUUGCCAGUCUACUACACUAAACACUAAUGACGUGGACUAGAGGUUCAUUAUGGGGUUCUACUGCCAGUCUACUACACUAAACACUAAUGACGUGGACUAGAGGUUCAUUAUGGGGUUCUACUGCCAGUCUACUACACUAAUGACGUGGACUAGAGGUUCAUUAUGGGGUUCUACUGCCAGUCUACUACACUAAACACUAAUGACGUGGACUAGAGGUUCAUUAUGGGGUUCUACUGCCAGUCUACUACACUAAUGACGUGGACUAGAGGUUCAUUAUGGGGUUCUACUGCCAGUCUACUACACUAAACACUAAUGACGUGGACUAGAGGUUCAUUAUGGGGUUCUACUGCCAGUCUACUACACUAAACACUAAUGACGUGGACUAGAGGUUCAUUAUGGGGUUCUACUGCCAGUCUACUACACUAAACACUAAUGACGUGGACUAGAGGUUCAUUAUGGGGUUCUACUGCCAGUCUUCUACACUAAACACUAAUGACGUGGACUAGAGGUUCAUUAUGGGGUUCUACUGCCAGUCUACUACACUAAUGACGUGGACUAGAGGUUCAUUAUGGGGUUCUACUGCCAGUCUACUACACUAAACACUAAUGACGUGGACUAGAGAUUCAUUAUGGGGUUCUACUGCCAGUCUUCUACACUAAUGACGUGGACUAGAGGUUCAUUAUGGGGUUCUACUGCCAGUCUACUACACUAAACACUAAUGACGUGGACUAGAGGUUCAUUAUGGGGUUCUACUGCCAGUCUUCUACACUAAACACUAAUGACGUGGACUAGAGGUUCAUUAUGGGGUUCUACUGCCAGUCUACUACACUAAUGACGUGGACUAGAGGUUCAUUAUGGGGUUCUACUGCCAGUCUGCUACACUAAACACUAAUGACGUGGACUAGAGGUUCAUUAUGGGGUUCUACUGCCAGUCUACUACACUAAACACUAAUGACGUGGACUAGAGGUUCAUUAUGGGGUUCUACUGCCAGUCUACUACACUAAACACUAAUGACGUGGACUAGAGGUUCAUUAUGGGGUUCUACUGCCAGUCUACUACACUAAACACUAAUGACGUGGACUAGAGGUUCAUUAUGGGGUUCUACUGCCAGUCUACUACACUAAUGACGUGGACUAGAGGUUCAUUAUGGGGUUCUACUGCCAGUCUACUACACUAAACACUAAUGACGUGGACUAGAGGUUCAUUAUGGGGUUCUACUGCCAGUCUACUACACUACUGACGUGGACUAGAGGUUCAUUAUGGGGUUCUACUGCCAGUCUGCUACACUAAACACUAAUGACGUGGACUAGAGGUUCAUUAUGGGGUUCUACUGCCAGUCUACUACACUAAACACUAAUGACGUGGACUAGAGGUUCAUUAUGGGGUUCUACUGCCAGUCUACUACACUAAACACUAAUGACGUGGACUAGAAGUUCAUUAUGGGGUUCUACUGCCAGUCUACUACACUAAACACUAAUGACGUGGACUAGAGGUUCAUUAUGGGGUUCUACUGCCAGUCUACUACACUAAACACUAAUGACGUGGACUAGAGGUUCAUUAUGGGGUUCUACUGCCAGUCUACUACACUAAACACUAAUGACGUGGACUAGAGGUUCAUUAUGGGGUUCUACUGCCAGUCUACUACACUAAACACUAAUGAUGUGGACUAGAGGUUCAUUAUGGGGUUCUACUGCCAGUCUACUACACUAAUGACGUGGACUAGAGGUUCAUUAUGGGGUUCUACUGCCAGUCUUCUACACUAAACACUAAUGACGUGGACUAGAGGUUCAUUAUGGGGUUCUACUGCCAGUCUACUACACUAAUGACGUGGACUAGAGGUUCAUUAUGGGGUUCUACUGCCAGUCUGCUACACUAAACACUAAUGACGUGGACUAGAGGUUCAUUAUGGGGUUCUACUGCCAGUCUACUACACUAAACACUAAUGACGUGGACUAGAGGUUCAUUAUGGGGUUCUACUGCCAGUCUACUACACUAAACACUAAUGACGUGGACUAGAGGUUCAUUAUGGGGUUCUACUGCCAGUCUACUACACUAAUGACGUGGACUAGAGGUUCAUUAUGGGGUUCUACUGCCAGUCUGCUACACUAAACACUAAUGACGUGGACUAGAGGUUCAUUAUGGGGUUCUACUGCCAGUCUACUACACUAAACACUAAUGAUGUGGACUAGAGGUUCAUUAUGGGGUUCUACUGCCAGUCUACUACACUAAUGACGUGGACUAGAGGUUCAUUAUGGGGUUCUACUGCCAGUCUACUACACUAAUGACGUGGACUAGAGGUUCAUUAUGCGCUUCUACUGCCAGUCUACUACACUAAACACUAAUGACGUGGACUAGAGGUUCAUUAUGGGGUUCUACUGCCAGUCUACUACACUAAACACUAAUGACGUGGACUAGAGGUUCAUUAUGGGGUUCUACUGCCAGUCUACUACACUAAUGACGUGGACUAGAGGUUCAUUAUGGGGUUCUACUGCCAGUCUGCUACACUAAACACUAAUGACGUGGACUAGAGGUUCAUUAUGGGGUUCUACUGCCAGUCUACUACACUAAACACUAAUGACGUGGACUAGAGGUUCAUUAUGGGGUUCUAUUGCCAGUCUACUACACUAAACACUAAUGACGUGGACUAGAGGUUCAUUAUGGGGUUCUACUGCCAGUCUACUACACUAAUGACGUGGACUAGAGGUUCAUUAUGGGGUUCUACUGCCAGUCUACUACACUAAACACUAAUGACGUGGACUAGAGGUUCAUUAUGGGGUUCUACUGCCAGUCUACUACACUAAACACUAAUGACGUGGACUAGAGGUUCAUUAUGGGGUUCUACUGCCAGUCUACUACACUAAUGACGUGGACUAGAGGUUCAUUAUGGGGUUCUACUGCCAGUCUGCUACACUAAACACUAAUGACGUGGACUAGAGGUUCAUUAUGGGGUUCUACUGCCAGUCUACUACACUAAACACUAAUGACGUGGACUAGAGGUUCAUUAUGGGGUUCUAUUGCCAGUCUACUACACUAAACACUAAUGACGUGGACUAGAGGUUCAUUAUGGGGUUCUACUGCCAGUCUACUACACUAAACACUAAUGACGUGGACUAGAGGUUCAUUAUGGGGUUCUACUGCCAG